GGGCGGGCGCUUACACAUGCAAGUCGAGCGAGAACCAGUCCUUCGGGACUGGGGACAGCGGCGAACGGGUGAGUAACACGUGGGUAAUCUGCCCUCGAUUCUGGGAUAGCCCGGGGAAACCCGGAUUAAUACCGGAUAGCCUCUCGAGCUUUCGAGCUCUUGAGAAAAGGUAGCUUCGGCCUCCGAUCGAGGAUGAGCCCGCGGCGGAUUAGCUUGUUGGUGGGGUAAUGGCCUACCAAGGCUACGAUCCGUAGCUGGUCUGAGAGGACGAUCAGCCACACUGGGACUGAGACACGGCCCAGACUCCUACGGGAGGCAGCAGUGGGGAAUCUUGCGCAAUGGGCGAAAGCCUGACGCAGCGACGCCGCGUGGGGGAAGAAGGCCUUCGGGUUGUAAACCUCUUUCAGCAGGGACGAAGCCACUCGGGUUAAUAGCCCAGAGGGUGACGGUACCUGCAGAAGAAGCCCCGGCUAACUACGUGCCAGCAGCCGCGGUAAUACGUAGGGGGCAAGCGUUGUCCGGAUUUAUUGGGCGUAAAGAGCGUGUAGGCGGCCGCACAGGUCCGUUGUGAAAACUGGAGGCUUAACCUUCAGACGUCGAUGGAAACCGUGCGGCUAGAGUCCGGAAGAGGA
rnacentral:rRNA from 1 species